rnacentral:rRNA from 1 species
CCUACGGGAGGCAGCAGUGAGGAAUAUUGGUCAAUGGGCGCUAGCCUGAACCAGCCAAGUAGCGUGAAGGAUGACUGCCCUAUGGGUUGUAAACUUCUUUUAUAUUGGAAUAAAAUGCAGUAUGUAUACUGCUUUGCAUGUACCUUAUGAAUAAGGAUCGGCUAACUCCGUGCCAGCAGCCGCGGUAAUACGGAGGAUCCGAGCGUUAUCCGGAUUUAUUGGGUUUAAAGGGAGCGUAGGCGGGUUGUUAAGUCAGUUGUGAAAGUUUGCGGCUCAACCGUAAAAUUGCAGUUGAUACUGGCAGCCUUGAGUACAGUAGAGGUAGGCGGAAUUCGUGGUGUAGCGGUGAAAUGCUUAGAUAUCACGAAGAACUCCGAUUGCGAAGGCAGCCUGCUGGACUGUCACUGACGCUGAUGCUCGAAAGUGUGGGUAUCAAACAGGAUUAGAUACCCCAGUAGUC